UAUUCAUAUUCCUAUAAAAAAAAAAGAAAAAAAUUCCUCUCGAUUUCGAACUUCUCAAACCGUCUCUCUCUUUCUCUCAAUACAAACAAACGCGAUCUGUGUGCUGAUCCUUUCCUUUUACCAAACCAAACGCUUCGGAAUCUCGCCACUCUCAUUCCCUGGAUUCCACUCGCAAGUGGUUUUGAAUUUUGAUAUACUUGCUGCUUUGGUGCCGAAGAAAACCGUGGCUAUUGGAGGAGAAUUUUUAUUUUGGAAUUUGGAUCAUCGAAGGUCUUGAAGUUACAAACAGAGGAAACUUGAUAUUGUAAGUAAAUCAUUGCUAUACUUGACGUUUUGGAGUAGUUUGCUAUGGAUCUUGCAAACAACACAGCAGGUGCUUCAGAAAGGCCUGCAAAACACAACGAAGGUGCUAUAGGAAGUCCUAUAAAUGAUAAAGCCAGUUAUGCAGGAAUUCCUUCAAACAAUGAAGUGGCCGGCACAGGAAUUCCUGUUACGGACCUUUCAGUUAGUUCAGCAAAUCCUGCAAAAGACGAACCAGGUGGUGCUAACCAUGUAAAUGACCAAGCUGAUAGUUCAGAAAAUCUUGCAAAGGACAAAUUAGAUGGUGCAGAAAAUUCUGAUGAAGACAAACCUGAUUCUCCCAUAAACCUUGUAAAUUACCGAUCAGGUGGUGCAGAAAAUCCACCAAAUGACAAAUUCAGUAGUGCAGAAAUACCUGUGAAGGAACUAGCAGCUGGUAUAGGAACUCCUGUAGGUACUGCAGAAAGUCCUGUGAAGAGAAAAGAUGGUUCAGAAAAUCCUAUAAAUAAUACAAAAGGUGAUAUAGAAACUUCUGUAAAUGACAAGGCAGAUUCUGCUGAAAAUGCCGUGGAUGACAAAACACGUGGAAUAGAAAAUCUUGUAAAUGAUAAAGCAGAUGAAGUAGAAAGUCCUUUAAACAAACAAGCAGAUGCUGCAGAAAUUCCUGUAAAAGUCAAACAACUGGCUGCUGAAAACAUUGUAGAAUACAAAGCAGAUGAUGUUGAAUGCCCUGUAGACAGCAACGUAAAUCGUCUUCCAGCUGAAGCAAAGGAGAUAUUAAUAUCACUGGCAAGUAAAUGGGAGGAUGUGUUGGAUCCAAAUGCAUUGCAGGUGAUUCCUCUCAAAGGGGCAAUGACAAAUGUGGUAUUUCAGAUAAAGUGGAGAACUAAAGCUGGGGAAACAUCACGGAAGGUUCUAGUUAGAAUCUAUGGUGAGGGUGUUGACGUUUUCUUUGAUAGGCAUGAUGAGAUCCGGACAUUUGAAUUCAUGUCAAAACAUGGGCAGGGACCAUCUCUACUAGGACGGUUUGCAAAUGGUCGCGUCGAAGAAUUUAUCCAUGCACGGACAUUAUCAGCAUCUGAUCUGCGUGAACCAUCAAUCUCUGCUCUUAUAGCAGCCAAAAUGAAGGAGUUCCACGAUCUUGACAUGCCUGGUGAAAAGAAAGUCCACCUUUGGGAUAGAUUACGAACAUGGCUUGCCGAGGCCAAACGUUUGUCAUCCCCUAAAGAAGUGGAAGCCUUUUAUUUGGACAUAAUUGACAGGGAAAUCUUUGUUUUGCAAAAUGAACUAUCAGGUGCUGCAAGCCAACGGAUAGGAUUUUGCCACAAUGAUUUGCAGUAUGGUAACAUAAUGCUUGAUGAAGAGACCAAUGCUGUCACCAUAAUAGAUUAUGAAUAUGCAAGUUAUAAUCCUGUAGCAUAUGACAUAGCAAACCACUUCUGUGAGAUGGCUGCUAACUAUCAUACAGAAACACCUCAUAUUCUCAACUACAAGAACUAUCCUGAUCUUGAGGAGCGUAGAAGAUUUGUGAACACAUAUUUGAGUUCCUCAGUUAUUGGACCUGGGCGCAGGUGCGCAACCAAAUGGCAGUGAAGUGGAGGAUCUACUUCAAGAAAUUGAGAAGUAUACACUUGCAAAUCAUAUUUUCUGGGGCGUUUGGGGAAUAAUUUCGGCUCAAGUAAACAAAAUUGAUUUCAACUACAAGGAGUAUGCGAAACAGAGGUUUCAAGAAUACUGGACAAGGAAACCUUAUCUUUUAAGCCAUGAUGCUCCCUCUCCUUAUAAUGCACCUUCUCCUUAUAACAAUCCUGCCGAGGGUACAGGUAUUUUGAUUUGAUUUGAUUUGAUUUUUUUUUUUUUUUGGUGUAUUUUUGAAACGUUAAAUAGAAUCAAUAGCUUGUCAGCUACGGAAAAGAUAGUAUUUUCUUGAUGUGAUUUUAAAGUGUAUGUUGAAGUUCGUUGUUUUUGUUUUGACUUAGAAAAUUGUUAGUUGAGGUGAAUAGUUUUUCAGUUUUACAAGCCACAACAAAUAACAGUAUUGUAUCUGUAAUUCAAGUGUGAUUUAUGACGUUAGAGAGUAAACAAAAACACAAUUAGUUUAGUAUUUUCUGAAAUAUUUAUUCAUGAAUUGAUGAUGUCUCCCCCGCCCCCUUCAUUUUGGUUCCGUAAUGAAUUAAUCUAACACUUAUAAACGAUCCUCCUUGUUUUUCUGCCCUUUUAUCUUGCUAAAAUCAACUAAAUUCUAUAUUUAGUUAUUUCAAAUUUCAAAUUGAAUUAAAUAAGUAUAUAGUUUGAAUUGGAUAAUUUUUUUUUUUCGUUUUUUGCUUUUCUUUCUCGUGCAGAAGCCAUAGUUUUUGACGCGAGGACAUGUUACUUGACAUUACUUUUGUUAACAAUGAAUUGGUAAAAAUGGGUGAGAAUUUCAUGUAUAAUCCAUCUCUGUAAUUUUAAAAUAAAAGUUAAUAAUUUCUUUUAU